UACAGAGGGUGCGAGCGUUGUCCGGAAUCACUGGGCGUAAAGCGCGCGUAGGCGGACCUGCAAGUCGGGGGUGAAAGCCCGAGGCUCAACCUCGGAACUGCCUUCGAUACUGCGGGUCUCGAGUCCGGGAGAGGUGAGUGGAAUUCCUAGUGUAGAGGUGAAAUUCGUAGAUAUUAGGAAGAACACCAGUGGCGAAGGCGGCUCACUGGCCCGGUACUGACGCUGAGGCGCGAAAGCGUGGGGAGCAAACAGG
rnacentral:rRNA from 1 species